rnacentral:rRNA from 1 species
UGGCGGAAGGGUGAGUAAGGCGAAGGUAACCAACCCCGCGGGUGGGCAUAGCCGAGGGAAACUUCGGGUAAUUCCCAGCGAUGUGACGACCUGGCAUCAGGGUGUCACCAAAGAUUUAUCGCCGUGGGACGGGCCUUCGUGGUAUUAGCUUGUUGGCGGGGUGACGGCCCACCAAGGCUGCGAUGCCUACCGGGCGUGCGAGCGUGGCCCGGCACACUGGGACUGAGACACUGCCCAG